GACGAACGCUGGCGGCGUGCUUAACACAUGCCAGUCGAACGGGCCUUGUCCCCUUUUUUUUUGGGGGUGGGGUUAGUGGCGAACGGGUGAGUAACACGUGAGUAACCUGCCCCUCACUUCUGGAUAACCGCUUGAAAGGGUGGCUAAUACGGGGUGUUCUGGCCUGCUCGCAUGGGUGGGUUUGGAAAGAUUCGACCGGUUUUGGUUGUUUUGGUAGGGGAUGGGCUCGCGGCCUAUCAGCUUGUUGGUGGGGUGAUGGCCUGCCAAGGCUUUGACGGGUAGCCGGCCUGAGAGGGUGGGCGGUCACACUGGGACUGAGACACGGCCCAGACUCCUACGGGAGGCAGCAGUGGGGAAUAUUGCACAAUGGGCGCAAGCCUGAUGCAGCGACGCCGCGUGAGGGAUGGAGGCCUUCGGGUUGUGAACCUCUUUCGCCAGUGAAGAAGGUCCUGCUCUUUGUGGUGGGGUUGACGGUAGCUGGGUUAAUGAAGCGCCGGCUAACUACGUG
rnacentral:rRNA from 1 species